UUUGUACAAGCGUGAUUUUUUCCAUGAAAAUGUUCUCGAAUUCAAUAAAUUGAUAAACCAAUAAUCAAUACCUGAAAUAUUUACUCUUUAGGGGUAAGAAAAAUAAUGACAAAGGUAUCAGCAAGACCCAGUAUAACCGAUUCGGAAUUAGGAUCCGAAAUCCGAUCCAACCGCAGCAGCAAGUUAGGUGCAAUUCUCUGCCCAACAGUUUGUGCACUUCUUCUAGUGUGCAUCUUUGCAGUUUCCUUCAUUGGCACCAAGCUGGCUUAUGACCAAUAUGAUGCGUUCUGCUCCGGUCGGCGGUUUGAUGUCGCCAAGCUUUAUAUCUUCCCUAAUUUCACUAUAAAGGCUCGCCCUGUACCUUUACAGUUAUAGUCGUGUUGGUUGAUUAAUAAAAGUGUUUGUCUGUA